AUUCAACAUUUAAAAAAUUCUCUCUAAUUACGUAAUGACAUAUAACGUACUGUUUCUUGUUCCAGUCACUAGAAAAUCUCUCUACUCUCACACACUGGCAUGAAUUCCCGUCCUUGGGAUGGAAAUCGAAAGCAGUACAAGUCAAAUUUGCAUCAACUUGUAUAUGCAAUUAAAUAUAUAGGACAAAAAACAUGCGGACAAAGGAAAAAAAAAAGUGUGGAUAAACAUUUAGCCUCUCUCUCUCUCUCUCUCUCUCUGUGAGUCUUAUUCAGGAGGAGAAGGGUCUGAAUUAUAAAAUUAAGGAGGAAGACGGAGAGAAAGAUGGCGGUGGAGCUGUUUGUGUUGGGGUGCACCGGAGUUGUGGUGUUCUUUCACGGAGCCAGUUUCUUGUUCCACCUUCUUACCCAACACCUUGCUGUUCGAUCUCUCAGUUUUCUGGGAUUUGUUGGGUGGUAGACAAAGAAAGCUAAUGUGUAAAUUCACCAGACCAGACGCUAAAUGUAAAGGCUCGAGAUCCCAAGUAUUGCUCAAGCAGAUUCUCUAUUUAGUAACAAAGGGGCAAUCCUAGGCAAAUCAUCUAUUUGAUUAUAUUUUGUAAAUUAUAUUACGUGAUUGUUGACGUUGAAUAAGUAAGUGUUAAUUAACGUAUUUAUUUUGUUCAGUGUGGUUUGCAAAUAGAUGUGAAGUUUUGUGUGCUUAAUUAACCAUCUUGUAAAAUUUGAUCCAAUUCCUGCCUGAGAAGUUUGGAGUACGGUCGGAUUGUACCUUAAUCAAGUCAUGAUGAUAAAAUGGUCUUUUUGGUC